rnacentral:rRNA from 1 species
UACGUAGGUGGCAAGCGUUGUCCGGAUUUACUGGGCGUAAAGGGCGUGCAGGCGGUUUGUCUAGUCUAGGGUGAAAGCUCCCGGCUUAACUGGGAGAGGUCCUUGGAUACUGGCAAACUUGAGGGAGGCAGAGGAAAGUGGAAUUCCCGGUGUAGUGGUGAAAUGCGUAGAUAUCAGGAGGAACACCUGUGGUGUAGACGGCUCUCUGGACCGCAACUGACGCUGAGACACGAAAGCGUGGGUAGCAAACAGG